ACUUAAACACUGACAGACACAAGCUUUCACCCCGCACACACACAAACAGCGACAGAGGUUUAAAUCCACAGACCCACACAGAGCGGAAAGAAGAGUACGGAACGGCAAAUGCUGCAUUUCCCUGUUGAUGGAUAUCUGAAGACGGAGGGGAAAACUUCUCCGUAGGAAUACCUCGGUCUGAUUCUCUGCGGGACCGAAUGCAGAGAUUUCCUUCGCCCUCCUUAAAAUAACUUUAGCACUUGGCGGACACGGAGUUGGGGUUUAAGACCGCUUCGUAAGCACAACACCCAGUAACCUCUAUCCGUUAAUACCCUUGCUCUGAAUCAGCCCCGAGAAAGAGGAGAGGAUCUGCCGGCUUCUCUCUCUUCCUGUGCCAUGGAUUACAGAUGGGCUUUGUGAUUUCCCACCGCAGUCUCAUGGAUGAUCUCUCCUCGCUCUCCGUCUUUAGGAUCAAGUACAAAGAGGGACACAACAGGUGGCUUCGUCGCGCGCUGAGAUUGAUUGAAGUGAUCUGUGUGAAUCCCAUUAGUGCGACUUGAAAACCAGCCAAGGCAGGAGUAAUGGGGAGGACCACCACUGUCACACGCCGCUAACGGAUCAGCCCCCCCGCCGGACAAACGACACACUCUGACCUUGGUCGACAAAAAAAAAUACCGAGCUAAGCUCC